AGGAAUAUAGCUCAGUGGUAGAGUGCAUGCUUUGCAUGUAUGAGGUCCUGGGUUCAAUCCCCAGUGUCUCCA